AUUGAACGCUUGCGGCAGGCUUAACACAUGCAAGUCGAACGAGCGGCGGACGGGUGAGUAAUGUCUGGGCAACUGCCUGCGGGAGGGGGAUAACUACUGGAAAAGGUAGCUAAUACCGCAUACCAUCAGAUGUGCCCAGAGGGGAUUAGCUAGUGGGUGGGGUAAAGGCUCACCUAAGCGACGAUCCCUAGCUGGUCUGAGAGGAUGACCAGCCACACUGUAACUGAGACACGGUCCAGACUCCUUCGGGAGGCAUAAGUGGGGAAUAUUGCACAAUGGGCGCAAGCCUGAUGCAGCCAUACCGCGUGUCUGAAGAAGGCCUUCGGGUUGUAAAGCACUUUCAGCGAGGAGGCGUUACUCGCAGAAGAAGCACCGGCUAAAUCCGUGCCAGCAGCCGCGGUAAUAC
rnacentral:rRNA from 1 species